UGAAAAUGUAAACUAAUUGUCACGACCCAAUUCAGGAUCAUGACCGGCACUUAGGAGCAAGUGCUCCCAAGUAAGACUCAUCGGUAUUUUACAGAAAAUCAGAUAGAGUUUUCCUAUUUUUAGACUAUCCCAAAAAAAUUUCCUUUCUCAAAUUAGUAACCAAGGAUUCCUAAUAGCAAUCCAAAUAAUAUACAACUUAUCAAUUAAUCAAAAUAGUCUUCACCAUUACUAAUUAACCCACUAACAACCAGAAAUACUAAUUUAUCUCCGAUUCUGAUAAUAAAGAACGAUACUCGAUAUAAGACUAAUUACAAAAUAAUACUCAUGAUACUAAAAGAAUGACUAUGGAGCGACUCUAAGAAUUCAAAGAAAAUACCAUAACAAUUGAUAAAAAUCUCCGCCCACGCAAACAAGUGCGAGGCUCACCAAAAAUUCUCAACCUAUGUGCUCUAAUUAACGAAAUCCCCGCCUGCGUCAACUGUUGUCUCUGUAAAAAAUUAGCGGGAAAUGAGUCGCUAGCUCAGUGAGUAAUAACACUUAACCACAACGGUUAUUAAUUUGGGGACAAAUAAAAGAACAUGCUAGUAUAUUAAACAUAAAACAACAUAAAAAUGCCAUUUCAGAAACAAUAAAUAAUUUUCAGUCUCGUCAUGUUUUUCUUGUAGUAUAAUACAAUUAACAGUUCGGUACUAAGUCCGGUAAUCACUGUCUAAUAUUAGUGUUCACAUUUGGGAGGUUUCAAUGAACGGAUCAAGUAAUCGGUAUAACUAUGGACUUUUUCGCAAGAAGUCAAAUAUAACGUUAGUCCCUACUCGAAGGAAAUCGGUAACAGUAUACCAGUUCUAUCUUCCCACUAAAUCAGAAACUCUUAUAGGUAUACUUCCUUAUUUCCGAACGUCUGAGUCUGUGUAAGUGCUUGUGUAGUAAAGUAGUCUGAGGAGGAUCUGCAUGUCUCGGGAUUUAAAGCCUACGCUCUGAUACCAACUUUCUCACUAGCGAGGGUUAUAACGGUAAUAUGUAAUUACAAGGUGCAUCAGGUCUAACGAAUCCGCCGUUAGCUACGGGAUCCUUCAAUCUCUACUCCCAUUUAUACUUGUCUUUUUAAUCCGUAUACACUCAUAUAAAAUAUUUUAAAAUAAUAUAGGGCAUUUCGGUUCUUAUAAAAUCAUAUAAUUUUUUUUUAUAACAGUAAAUUCAAGUAACGUAAAACAACGGUAAUCUUCUCAAAUAACUAUUUCGGUAUCAUAUCGAGUAAAAGACUUGUCCCACAUACAACUUAAAAUAAUCGGUAACAUAUUUCUAUUAAAAAUUAUGUGUAAAUCAUGCAAGUUAUGAAAACACAAAUUACGGUAAGACUACUACUCACAGUGCUAGUGCCGAAAUACCAAAUGCUUCACCUCGAGCAAUUCGUACAAAUUUCUCCAAUCAAUAUAUAAUUACAUAAUAUCAAUCUCCUGUUAAUUUCCUUGUUUAGGCUAAUUCAUAGCUAAUUUAGAAUACCCGACCCUCGAGGUUUCAUAUUUGACUCUUAAUUCAUCAAAUAAUAUUUACCCACUAUGAGUAAUUACUAAUCUAUCAACUCCAACAUAUUCAUAUAUUUUAUUAAUCCAAUUUCAUAAAGUUCUAUUGAUUCUUUAGGAAGAAAAUUCUCAAGUAUGAAUGAACUAGUGUAAUUUCUAUUUCUCUGUGGAAUCUUCCAAUCAUGAGAAUCGAAAUUAAAAUCUACCAAAAAGAGAAGCUCAAGCUAUACCCGUAAGACAUAAUUCAUGAUAAAGAUUCCUCAACAGAUUGCCAAAAAUUAACAAAAAUUUAUGCAUAUCUUUUCUUGUUUCACUGACUUUUGCCAAUCUCUUUAUUUAACUCUAACCAUUAAAAUAUAUUCUCAAAUUUGUGAAAUAAGUACCUGAAAAUUUGAACAAAUAAUGGAUGAAAGCGGCUUCUUUUGCGGUACCAAGAUAUUUCCCCAGCUCACCUUCUGCAUUUGUUUUUGAUUUUCGUUUUUAAUCUGACUCGUCAAAAUCCUUUUUGCUUCUGCUUGGUUUUACGCAGCAGAAUUUGAUUUUGUUGCCAAAGAAAGGGGCUUCGGCCCUUUUUUCCUUUUUUGUUUCUG
rnacentral:lncRNA from 1 species